rnacentral:rRNA from 1 species
AUGAAUGCGGCCAUCAGUGCGGCCUUGUCGGUGGUAGGCAAGGCGCUGGCCCCUGUUUCGGAUGGCUUGUUGGAGAACUGGGCGGCCAGCAACAGUCUUGGCCCCAACAUCAGCGCCCUCAAGGGGGAGCUGCUGCGUGCGCAGGGGAUACUCUACACCGCGCACGACAGGGACAUCACCAACCCAGCACUCAAGGAGUUGUUGCAAAUGCUGCAGCAGCUGGCGGACGCGGCAGACGACGUGCUUGAUGAGCUGGACUACUUCCACAUCCAAGACAAGCUCAACGGCACCUACAAUGCCGUUGAUAACCAUCCCAGGGGCUCCAUCCAUAACCUCGGUCUCAAUGUGCGGCACACCGCUAGAGCGGUUGCCAACAAAUUCAGGCUCCCCUCAUGCUUGCGUGAUGCUAGUGGGAGUGAGCUUGACGACCAAGAAGAUGAUGAGGCACAAAACCUGCAGUUUAAUCGUGUGGAAAUGUCUAAACAGAUGGCACACAUUGUACAACAGCUAGAUCCCAUUUGUGCUAAGGUGAAGGAAAUUCUUGAUCUAGAGCUCCGCAAACCUACCCAAGGCAGCAUUGCUAGAAACAGACUGAAAACUACCCCAGCAAUAAUAGAGCCAGAGUUGUUUGGGAGGGAUACCGAGAAAAAGAAUAUUGUAGAGGGCAUUACCCAUGGAAAAUAUUGUGCCGAUGGACUCACCAUGCUUCAUAUUGUUGGCCCAGGAGGUAUUGGGAAGACGACUUUGGCACAACAUGUAUAUCAAGAAGUGAAGAGCUCUUUUGAUGUUAUGAUUUGGGUAUGUGUGUCUCUGAGUUUCGAUGCAAAUAAGUUGGCACAAGAGAUUGUGAAACAAAUCCCAAAGGUCCAUGGUGAGAUGAAAAAUACUAUUGAGGAAGAGCUCAUCGAACAAAGGUUAAAGCAUAAGCGGUUCUUGCUGGUCUUGGAUGAUGUGUGGACAUAUCACGAAGAUGAGUGGAAAAAACUGUUAGCUCCCUUCAGAAAAGGAGAGGCAAGAGGUAAUAUGGUUAUAGUCACUACUCGCAUUCUAGAGACCACAACAAUGAUAAAAACAGUUGAUUACUCGAUAAACCUGGGUCAGUUAGAAACUGAAGAUUUUAUGCAUCUAUUUGAAGCAUAUGUAUUUGGUCACCAACAGUCAUGGAAAAACCAUCCUGGAUUGCUUGAUGUUGGCAGAGAAAUAGUGGUCAAGUUGAAGGGUUUUCCUCUUGCAGCAAAAACUGUAGGUAGAUUACUAAGAAACCAGCUUACAUUGGACCAUUGGACAAGAGUUCUGGAAAGCAAAGAAUGGGAGUUUCAAACCAGCAACUAUGACAUUAUGCCAGCUCUAAAGCUUAGCUAUGAUUAUCUCCCUUUCCAUCUACAAAAGUGUUUUUCCUAUUGUGGUUUGUUUCCUGAAGAUUAUGAGUUUGGUAGCAAAGAGUUGGUUCACUUAUGGAUAGGGUUUGAUAUUCUGGAUACAUGUGAUCAAAGGAAAACACUUGAAGAUGUUGGGCUGUGUUAUUUAAAUGACUUGGUUAAUUGUGGUUUUUUCAAGAAGAAUGGAAAAGAUGAUGGCAGCCCUUGUUAUGUUGUGCAUGACCUAUUGCAUGAGUUGGCAGUGAAGGUUUCAUCAUCAGAUUGUCUUACCAUAUCUAGUUCUAAUGUGAGAUAUGCACAAUCUUCCCCGUCUGUUCGUCAUUUGUCUGUCAUUAUAGAUGAGAGAGAUGUCAAUGAUAAAAUGACCUUUGAGGAUUUUAAGAGGGACUUGAGUACAUUACAUGAAAAGCUGAAAGUUGAAAAUCUACAAACUGUGAUGUUAUUUGGAAAAUUCCAUGGAAGCUUUGCAAAGACUUUCGGUGAUUUGUUUGCAGAAGCAAAAUCCAUUCGUGUUAUUCUUUUGUCUGAGGCAUCUUAUAAUUAUAGUCUGGAGGAUGUGUUCCGCGGCCUUCCGAGAUUUGUCCAUCUUCGCUACCUAAGGAUAACGGGAUAUCUUGCACAAUUAUGUUUGGACAACAAAAUACCAAGAUUUUAUCACCUGAGGAUCCUAGAUGUUCAACGCUGCAAUGUCCACAUUGGUGUUCUCAGAGCAAUGAGCAACCUUGUAAAAUUACGCCAUUUUCUUGUCCAAGGCACCGGUUUUGAAUUAAGGCAGAUAGGACAAUUGAUAGAGCUCGGUGGGUUAAUGAGAAUACAUAACAUUGAGAAUGUUGAACGGAAGGAAGAAGCAAAUGAAGCAAAACUGAUACGCAGAAUCCACUUAGAGAAGCUAGUAUUACAGUGGGGUACUUAUGGACAUGAUAUACAUUCUGUGCAAGAACAUAUUCUUGAAAGUCUCAAACCUCAUUGCGAUCUCCUAGAUCUGCACAUUGGAGGGCAUAGAGGCACAACUUGCCCGUCAUGGCUUGGUGGGAAACUCUCGGUUAAAAAUUUGGAAUCUCUUCGUCUGCAUGAUGUAGGUUGGACAAUUCUUCCACCUCUAGGAGAGUUGUGGUCUGUUGGUGAGCAUGGUGAAGAGCAUCAAAGUUUUAUCCCAAGUCAAAGCUUUCAAAAUCUGAGAAGGCUAGAAUUAGUUAAGAUACCAAGGUUGAGAAAAUGGGUUGAAAAUAACACUUGUCGUUUGUUCCCUCAGCUAGAAGUUCUCAUUGUUAAAGAUUGCUCUGAACUAGUGGAGCUGCCACUUUCAUGCUGUCAAUCAGAGCAAGAGGCGAACAUGACCUGGUUUCCUAGAUUACAGGAACUUGAGAUUACGGAAUGCCCAAAAUUGUUGUCGUUGCCUCCUGUCCCUUGGAACCCUGCCGCAUGCUCUGCCAAGAUAGAGCAGGUAGGAUCUGGUUUAAAACAGCUGAAUUACUCAAAGGGCUACAGUUCGGGGGCAAGUUUAACAAUUACGGGUAAGAAUGGUGAAGAUGGCAUGUUCUGGAAUGUGUUGGCAUUCUCUAAGCUAGCUGAUCUAAAAGUGCUGAAGAUUACGAAUUGUCCUCCUCUGCCACUGGAUCACCUCCAGAAGUUAAAAUCUCUGAAGUCGCUCGAAAUAGAUUACUCGGGUAAUAGCAAUGUCUUGCUGCAGACUGACAGUGAGAGUGACAUCAUAUAUGAGUUACCAAUUGAACGCCUCAGGAUUAGUUCUUGUGGCGCUCGUGAGAAGGAAUUGACACAGUUGCUUUCUCAUUUCCAAUAUCUCAGCGAGCUGGGAAUAACUGAUUGUGAAAAGAUAACAAGUGUUGGUGUGGUGGAGCAGCAGCAGAGGAUAAGAGUAGGGGAGGAAAUAGCAGUGGGAGGAGAAGCUGGACUUUUGCUCCCGUCUUCUCAUCUACAGAAAUUGGACAUCUAUGAGUGCCCAGAGCUGAGCCUGCUCACCAGUUCGCUUCAAGACCUCCGUUCCCUCCACAUACGUGGUUGCCCCAAGUUCCUCUCAUCAUGCACAUGGCUUCUCCUUACCCAUCGCUGCCUCACAGAACUAUACAUUCAUGACACCCACAAAUUAUCCGCCAGUUUGGAGCCCACACGGAUGCACACACACUGCAAACUUCAGAAGCUAGACACAGAUGACCUCACAGGCUUCCUUGUUGUGCCCAUCUGCAGCCUCCUCUCCUCCUCCAUCACCUGUUUGUACCUUGCUCGCGAUCAUGAGAUGGAGCGCUUCACUAAGGAGCAAGAGGAUGCCCUUCAGCUCCUCACCUCACUUCAGGUGCUUAAUUUUGUCGAGUUCGGCAAGCUGCAGUGCCUCCCAGCAGGACUACAUAGACUUUCCAGUCUCAUGACAUUAAGGAUUUACAGCUGUCAGGCCUUCCAGUCGCUGCCGGAGGACCUCCCAACUUCUCUGCAAAAUUUGGUAAUCCACUUCUGCAAUUCCUUCAAAUUGCUGCCCAAUGUCAGCCUCCCAAAUUCUCUGCAAAAUUUAAGGAUCUGGGGCUGCCAUUCCUUGGAGUCGCUGCCCAAGGAUAGUCUCCCAAGUUCACUGCAAGACUUAACGAUCGGUCUUUGUGACGCCUGGAAGUUUCUGCCUGAGGAUGGCCUCCCAUGUUCUCUGAAAAAAUUACAUAUUCAAGCCUGUUGCCUGGAAUCGGUGCCCAAAGAUAUUCUCCCAAGUUCACUGCAAGAAUUAAGGAUCCGUUUUUGUCCCGCUCUGAGAUCACUGCCAGAUAGCCUCCCAAAUUCCCUGCGAGUUUUAGAUGUCGACGGUGGCAACAGUGAGGAGCUAAUGAGGCAAUGCCGCAAGUUGAAAGGAGUCAUUCCAAUAAUCAAAGACUAA